rnacentral:misc_RNA from 1 species
UCCGGUUUAACACCGGCGGUCUCCAUAGAGUGCCCAACUGAAUGAUGGCAACUAGGGAUAAGGGUUGCGCUCGUUAAGGGACUUAACCCGACAUCUCACGAUACGAGCUGACGACAGCCAUGCAGCACCUGUCUCUCCGCCCCCGAAGGGGAAGCCCUAUCUCUAGGGUUGUCGAAGGAUGUCAAAUCCAGGUAAGGUUCUUCGCGUUGCAUCGAAUUAAACCACAUGCUCCACCGCUUGUGCGGGCCCCCGUCAAUUCCUUUGAGUUUUAAUCUUGCGACCGUACUUCCCAGGCGGGGUACUUAAUGCGUUAGCGUCGGCACUGCAGGGGUCAAUUCCCGCAACACCUAGUACCCAUCGUUUACGGCGUGGACUAC